GAUGAACGCUGGCGGCGUGCCUAAUACAUGCGAGUCGAGCGAACAGACGAGGAGCUUGCUCCUCUGACGUUAGCGGCGGACGGGUGAGUAACACGUGGAUAACCUACCUAUAAGACUGGGAUAACUUCGGGAAACCGGAGCUAAUACCGGAUAAUAUAUUGAACCGCAUGGUUCAAUAGUGAAAGACGGUUUUGCUGUCACUUAUAGAUGGAUCCGCGCCGCAUUAGCUAGUUGGUAAGGUAACGGCUUACCAAGGCAACGAUGCGUAGCCGACCUGAGAGGGUGAUCGCCCACACUGGAGCUGAGACAGGGUCCAGACUCCUGCGGGAGGCAGCAGUAGGGAAUCUUCCGCAAUGGGGGAGAGCAUGACGGAACAACGCCGCGUGAGUGAUGAAGGUGUUCGGAUCGUAAAACUCUGUUAUUAGGGAAGAACAAAUGUGUAAGUAACUAUGCACGUCUUGACGGUACCUAAUCAGAAAGCCACGGCUAACUACGUG
rnacentral:rRNA from 1 species